GGGCGAAUGGUCUAGUGGUAUGAUUUCUGUUUCGCAUUCCUUCUCCGCGAGAGAACUGCCCUACAGAAGGUCCCACGUUCAAUCCACGGUUCGUCCA